rnacentral:rRNA from 1 species
AGUGAACGCUGGCGGUAGGCCUAACACAUGCAAGUCGAACGGCAGCACAGUAAGAGCUUGCUCUUACGGGUGGCGAGUGGCGGACGGGUGAGGAAUACAUCGGAAUCUACUUUUUCGUGGGGGAUAACGUAGGGAAACUUACGCUAAUACCGCAUACGACCUACGGGUGAAAGCAGGGGAUCUUCGGACCUUGCGCGAUUGAAUGAGCCGAUGUCGGAUUAGCUAGUUGGCGGGGUAAAGGCCCACCAAGGCGACGAUCCGUAGCUGGUCUGAGAGGACGAUCAGCCACACUGGAACUGAGACACGGUCCAGACUCCUACGGGAGGCAGCAGUGGGGAAUAUUGGACAAUGGGCGCAAGCCUGAUCCAGCCAUACCGCGUGGGUGAAGAAGGCCUUCGGGUUGUAAAGCCCUUUUGUUGGGAAAGAAAAGCAGCAGGUUAAUACCCCGCUGUUCUGACGGUACCCAAUGAAUAAGCACCGGCUAACUUCGUG